ensembl:lncRNA
UUGUUUUUAUUAUUAUUAUUGUUUUGUUUAUUUGAAAAUGCAUGCAUUAUAUGAUUGUUUGAAAGUUUAUACUUUAGCCUAAGUGAAGUAAGAAGUCCAUUAAGCCUUCUGGGCUCUGAAAAGAGCAAUCACUGUGCAAUAACCUCUUCCUCUGGGAGAGACUGAGAGAGCAUCUGUGUAAAUGGAGGGAAACAAAGAGCCAUGCCGUCUUGGAUUCUUGAUUAGGUGCUUUAUGUGUGUGUGUUUGUCCAUUGGCAGAGCAUCUAAAUGGCCACAGAGCUGUUCUGCUCUCUGUAGCGUCUGUCGUGGCAAAGUGCCUUGUCUGGGUAUCACCAUUUCCUGCUCCAGAAAGGAAGUAACAGCAUACACCCACCAUCAUCAAACGUUUCGUCUGACUAACGCAAUGACUCAUCGACACAUCCAGCCUCAAGGCAUUCCAGCUCCGUAAGCAGCCAAUACUUGAAAUCAUCCAGUGGGAAUAGUUGGAAAACCGUCCAAGGGAAUAAUUGGCAAAACACUAUUGGGAAUAGCUGGAUAACUGCUUUUGGGGGAUCUGGCAGAAGGGAGGGCUCUCAUCGUGAGAAUGUAUGUGUCAAAGCUUUCACCUUCGGCUGUUGCGCUUGUUAUCCAACACUGUUGUCUGCCAGCGCUAUGGAACAACCCCAGUAAGGGUUAUUUCCUGUGGCUUCUGAAUAGCGAGAGUCAGAAUGCUAACUGUGCAUGCUGUUUGGGUAAUAUUACCCACAAGCCCUUUGAUUGUGACUGGUAUCUUUUGACUUUAGAGAAAUUAGAAAUGCAUCGCUAUGGCAGGUUUUAAAUAUAUGCAUUGCAAAGGAAUAAUGAAUUCUAAUUCUAAUUUAGUUAAAUUUUAUUGGCAUUGCUGUGGUUCUGAUUAACCCCACUCUACCAGUUGGUGGUGUCAAAAAUGGGGUUAAAGAAUCAUGAUUGGGCAAAAAAAUGGUUAAAGAACCAGACAUAAGAAAAAAAAACAGGGUAAAAGAAUCAAAACGCUUAAAGAAUUAUGAUCAAAGCAAAAAAGGGGGUUAAAGAACCAGAUGUAAAGAAAAAUGGGAUUAAAGGAACAUGACAGAAGCAAAAAUGAGGUUAAAAGAAUCAAAACGGUUAAAGAAUUAUGACAAGCAAAAAAUCCCAAUAGAAGCAAAAAAUAGGUUUUAGAAUCACAACUGAAGCCAAAAAGGCUUUAGAAAUUAUGGCGGAGGAAAAAUGGGAUUUAAGAAUCAAAGGGGUUGAAAAAUAAGGGGUUAAAGAACAUUAUGGAAGCAAAGAAGGGGUUAAAAAAUCAUGACGCAUGCAAAAACAGGCAUUACAGAAUCAGGACAGAAGCAAAAAUGAAUGGGGCUUAAAGAAUUCUGACAGCAAAAAAAAACAAAAGAUUAAAGAACGAAAGGGGUUAAAGAAUCAUAAUGGAAUCAAAAAGCGGGUUAAAAAUCAUGACAGAAGCAGAUUAGCAUAGGCCAAUUAAGUUUGAUGCAGCAAAACAAUAUUUCCCAUCAUUCUCUGUGGCAGUACAAGAAAGAUAAAAUACACAGAUAAAGCAUCAUUGACUCAUCUAAUGCCCGUCGCAUGCUCUUCAUUUUGUCAUACUAUAAUACAACCUUCCUGUCGGGAACUGAAAAUGAUCAAAUGAAAAAUGAAAUUGCCCAAUGUCUCAGUUUUUUUCAGGCUAAAAUGACUUCAGCCCUAAUAGCGCCUCAUGAAUUUGUACAUCAGAACGUCCCGGGAGGACUUGAAUGAGUUCUUAUUAUCGGCCCCCUGUGCUAACACCCGCAUCUUGAGUCUGACAUCAUCAGUGCUCUGCUAACAUCGUGCGCACUUUGAAUGGUUUAUAACAGAUUGUUUUGUCUUACUGAAUAUUUGAUUGUUUGCAGACUCAGUUGCAUGGUCAUAAUUCAGUAUGGCAUCACAACCUUUCUAGUCUGAGUUUUGAAAAUAAAUUGUCGCUCAUUGGUUGACAUGACAACCCAUUGAUUGACAGAUACUGCUGUUAUGAUAAACAGACCACCAUCUGUUCUCCCCUGAGUAUUUCUAAAUGCCUUGAUAUCUUAAUUAGCACCUACUGGCUGCAAAUCAUAAAAAUGAUUUAUUUUAAUUAAAAAAUAAAUAAAUAAAGGUUGGAAUAAACACUUUAAAUCGAAAGACAGGAACAAAGAUUCAGUUCUGUUUCAUGCAUCAGCUAUGUGUUAGAUGUUCUCCUAAAAUACUUUAUGAGAAAACAGACAAAUGAGUCAGUAGUAGGCAUUGCUUACUUCAGAUGCCUCUGGUAUAUUGGCAGUCUUGAGCCUAUGGGUUAAUUGAAAUGCGUAUAGCUAAAUAAAAAUUUAUUAAAUUAGCAUGCUGACAUUGUGGUUUUGUGGUUUUUAGAACAGAACAACAAAGAGCAGAGUAAAUGUAAAUGCAGAGUAAAUGCUGCUGUCAUUAUAACUAAUGUUUGGUAUUCAGUACUGAGAAGAUUUGUGAGUUGAUGUUCACUGAAGACUGACAUUUUCUUUAUCUGUCUUCAAAAUGGGAUUUAUAGAAAUAUUUGAAUGUUGUUUAUUACUGCUUAUCCCAUGGGGUGCAUUUCUCUGUAUUUAAAAAAGGGGGUUAAAGUAUCAUGAUUUAGGUAAAAGAAAGUGGUUAAAGAAUCCUGAUGGAAGCAAAAAAGGGGUUAAAGAAUCAUGACUGAGGAAAAACGUGAUUAAAGAAUUCUGACAAUUCUGACAAAAUGGGUUAAAGGAUUAUAACAGAAGCAAAAAGGUUAAAGAAUCAAAAGUGAGGAAACUUUGCUGUGAGGAAAAAGGGGUUAAAGAAUCAAGACUGAGAAAAAAAGUGGUUAAAGAAUUGUGAUUGAGAAAAGUCUAAUUUAAAGAAUCCAAAGCAAAACGGGUUAAAGAAUCAUAAAGGAAGGAAAAAAGUGGUUAAAGAAUUGUGACAUAAAAAUGUUAUUAAAGAAUCCUGAUAGGAGCAAAAUAGGGGUUAAAUUAUCAUAACAGAAACAAAAAGGGGUUAAAGAAUCAUGAUAGAAAAAUGUUAUUAAAGAAUCCUGAUAGAACAAGACAUGGUUAAAGAAUCAUAACGGAAACAAAAAGGGGUUAAAGAAUCAUAACGGAAACAAAAAGGGGUUAAAGAAUCAUAACGUAAACAAAAAGGGGUCAAUGAAUCAUAACGUAAACAAAAAGGGGUUAAAGAAUCAUAACAAAAGCAAAAAGUGGUUAAAGAAUCAUAACAAAAGCAAAAAGGGGUUAAAGAGUCAUGACGUAAACAAAAAGGGGUUAAAGAAUCAUAACGUAAACAAAAAGGGGUUAAAGAAUCAUAACGGAAACAAAAAGGGGUUAAAGAAUCAUAACAAAAGCAAAAAGUGGUUAAAGAAUCAUAAAAGCAAAAAGGGGUUAAAGAGUCAAUGACAAAAAUGUUAUUAAAGAAUCAAUGAUAGAAGCAAAACAGGGGUUAAAGAAUCAUAAAAAAAGCAAAAAGGGGUUAAAUCAUGAUGGGAAAAAAAACAAGUGGUGAAGAAUCAUUCGGCUCCCUUUUCUAGCAUGUUGUGCUGAGUAGCUCCACCCACAGUGAAAUCCCAUUGGUCCACAGUCCCACAGCUGUUGUUUAAACAUUACCUAUGUUCUGGGUGGCAGUGAUUGGCGCAUGACUUUUCUCUUGUUAGCGGCAUGCUUUACUUUCAUGAAGAAGACUGUAGCACACAAAUUCAUAACAGCGGACCAAAUACAUCUUUUAGUGAGUUCUCCUUAAAAUACAAUCCGAGUCUCAGAGGGUCAGAGACUCUUAAAGAGUCUCACUCAGAAAUUAUUUAUCUUUACUGGGGUGAUGCUGAAUAUUUUAAGCCGUAAAGUGCACAUUAAAAGUUUGCAAUAUCCAAUCAAAUGUAAUUAGAGUGACUUGGCAGCACUUAUAGCAAGGUUUUAGAAGAGACUUUGAUACUUGGGCUCAAGCUGCAAACAGCGGUUAGUCUGUGUGCAGUAUCUGUCUGCCCAGUGUUAUUUUAGCAUCGAAAUACUAUUAUAGUUUUUAUUAAUAUUUUAAAUUAGUAUUUCUUUUCAUAUUUUCCCAUAUGGAAAUGUAAUAUAUGACACAUAUAUUAUGUAUCUAUAUUGGCAUAUGUGUUACCUACAGUA